rnacentral:rRNA from 1 species
UACGGAGGGUCCAAGCGUUAUCCGGAAUCAUUGGGUUUAAAGGGUCCGUAGGCGGGUCUGUAAGUCAGUGGUGAAAUCUCCCGGCUCAACCGGGAAAUGGCCAUUGAUACUGCAGGUCUUGAGUUAUUGGGAAGUAACUAGAAUAUGUAGUGUAGCGGUGAAAUGCUUAGAGAUUACAUGGAAGACCAAUUGCGAAGGCAGGUUACUAUCAAGAUAUUGACGCUGAGGGACGAAAGCGUGGGUAGCGAACAGG